UACUCCUACGGGAGGCAGCAGUAGGGAAUCUUCCACAAUGGACGCAAGUCUGAUGGAGCAACGCCGCGUGGAUGAAGAAGGUCUUCGGAUCGUAAAAUCCUGUUGUAAAGAAGAACGGUUGUGAGAGUAACUGCUCAUAACGUGACGGUAAUCAACCAGAAAGGCACGGCUAAAUACGUGCCAGCAGCCGCGGUAAUAAU
rnacentral:rRNA from 1 species